rnacentral:rRNA from 1 species
GAUGAACGCUGACAGAAUGCUUAACACAUGCAAGUCUACUUGAACUUCGGUUUGGGUGGCGGACGGGUGAGUAACGCGUAAAGAACUUGCCUCACAGUUAGGGACAACAUUUGGAAACGAAUGCUAAUACCUGAUAUUAUGAUUUUAGGGCAUCCUAAAAUUAUGAAAGCUAUAUGCGCUGUGAGAGAGCUUUGCGUCCCAUUAGCUAGUUGGAGAGGUAACGGCUCACCAAGGCGAUGAUGGGUAGCCGGCCUGAGAGGGUGAACGGCCACAAGGGGACGGAGACACGGCCCUUACUCCUACGGGAGGCAGCAGUGGGGAAUAUUGGACAAUGGACCAAAAGUCUGAUCCAGCAAUUCUGUGUGCACGAUGACGUUUUUCGGAAUGUAAAGUGCUUUCAGUUGGGAAGAAAAAAAUGACGGUACCAACAGAAGAAGUGACGGCUAAAUACGUG